ensembl:lncRNA
UGCCAACCUGCAGGCCGUGCCCGCUGCGGUCCCGGGCUGAUGGUGCUUAUGCUGAAAAGCCCUGCCCUGGAGUCGCUCUGGACUCACACCCAGUUCUGCUCCCUCCUGGCUGGUGAUCUUCGCACGUUUCGUGAUGUCUCUGAGCCUCAAGUUUCUCUUCUAUAAAAUGGGGAAAAUGCGGAUGCCGCAGAUGACGGCCUGGCUUGGCCACUGGGGAGAGUGCUGCAGGAAAUGCUGGAGUGAGGGUCGGAGGGGUCGAGGAGCCUGGAUCCCGCCUGAGCUGGGCGUGCGCCAUCGUGGAAGCACCACGGGGAUUGCCAGGACAGGUGACUCACGGCCGGGAGUGAGCGGGCAGGAGCGGCCCCAGCCGGGCCACCAUCACCCAAGCAGGCUGCACAUCUCUCCACUCCACGACUCAGUCUCCUCGUAUGCCAAGUGGGAAUGAUAAAGGAGGUUCUUCCCUCACAAUACUGGAAACGAUUGCACAAGCAGAGUCUGUACAGAUGGAGACAGAACAUCUGACAUCUCCAGAAAGGGGCAGACAGAGGAUCAGGGAGGACCGGUCUCUCUCGGGGCUUGGAGCGCUGCUACUGCCAUACCUGGAACUCAUCACAUGCCCGCCUGUCUGUUGCUUUUAGGGUCUGAGUAUUGUUUUCAGGGCUUAAUAAAAAC